rnacentral:tRNA from 1 species
GGCCGAGUGGCGGAAUGGCAGACGCUGGGGAUUUAAAAUCCCCUGUCCGGUGAGGACGUGCGGGUUCGAUCCCCGCCUUGGCUA